AUAGAAGCCAAAAUUAACAUUUCAAGUAUGUUGCACAUACUGAAGCAGAAACAAAAUAAACAAAACCCCCAGAAUGUCUACAUUCCCAUGCUGUUUACCAAGUUCCCUCAGGGUUCUGAAUGCACAAGCAAACACCCAGUUUUGUGCAAAGUUGAAUGUAUGACUACGAUACUAUUUACUUUGUAGAAACUGGAAUUCUCUGCAUGCCAUCUGGAUGUAAGUUCCACCUUCUGAGGGUAAGGUAAAAUUGGUCUUUUCUAGAUAGCCCUUAAGGUAACCUCACUUUGUGUCUUGUCUACUCAGCUGUAUUUAUGACAUACUACUAUGCAAGUCUUUAGCUUUCUUUUAAUCAAGUAAUGCGUUCAUCUCUGAAAUCAUUUGAUGAGACCGUGCUUAGAACAAGCCUGAUAUCUAAGGAAUCCUGUUCAUGACAGGAUUACCUUCUGGGCUCUUUCCCCACGGAACAGAACUCUUUCUUUACCCUACGGAACAGAAAAGUGUGCUAACAUUUCAUCCUUAUUCUGUUCUCCUUCUGUUUUGUUACAGCAUUUCCUAAGAGUGACAGACCCAACACAUUCUUCCACAGUUAGCCUGGCUCACUCUCCUCGCACCGCAAAGCACAUACCAAGACUGAGAGAAAAGACAACUCCUGAAAUGCCUAAGUUAGCGCCAGGAUAAAGAAGAUUUGCUUCUCAUUAUGACAACUGUAUCAUCAAAUUAGUUGCCAUUAAAAAAAAAAAAAAA